rnacentral:lncRNA from 1 species
GUGAGGAAACUGAGGCCAUAGCGCUGACACUAGCCAGAUGCAGGGAAGGCAAACGGAAGGAUUAAGAAAGCCCCAGCCAUAUGACUCUGCCAGGUCCCAACCGCGAAUGGCGCACCUGGGCACCAGUGCGCUAGGCUAUACCUCUGUCCCCGGGCUCUAACACGCGGGACUGCACCACGAAACACGUGCCCAACCCCAAGACAAGAACACGUGCGGCAAGACGCCGCCAAGGGGCUCUCUGCAUUCGUGGAUGCCCUGGGUAAUCGACCUAUAUUGGCGCACAACUGCAGAGCUCUUGCUAAGACGCGACCACCCGAGGCUAACAACGCUGGCUUUGGAGUCAGAGCCCAGCCCCGCCUCGAUAACUUACUAGCUGUGUGACUUCGGCCAAGUCACCACCUCUCUGCGCCUCAGCUUCCUCAUCAGCAAAAUGGAAUUGUUGUGAGGCCUAAUUGAUACAAAAUACGUUCAACGCCUAUCAUGGUGUUUGGCACGUGGUUCUGAAAAUCUGUGGUUGGAGUUAUUUCUUCUUGGCUGUGAAAGCCAAGGCCCUAAAGACUUUGAAUAGGGGCGCGCGCUUAGCCCGGAGGCUAGGAGUUCCGCCUCGGGAGCUCCCCAGCACCUCAGCCUAGGCGCACAGGCGGCUAGUGGGAGGCGCGUGCGGGCUGCUUAGGGACUGGGCCAGCCUGGGGCGCGGCGGGCGGGGUUGCAGUCUCCAGAGCUCGCCACGUCCGCACCCGGAACCCUGGAAACGGGGCUCCCAGAGGCUCCCCCGCUACCAUCCCCCCGCCCC